GCAGACUCACUCUGCAUCCUGCUGCAUCUACAAGCAUGGGUGCUUUUUUCGUCUGCCACAGGAAUGAAUGUGCCAGGGGCCAAAACCGCUUUGACCUGUGAAAGUGGACAGAGAUUCCCAGGACACACACAU